GGCCAGGCAUAUCUAGCGUUCUGAUUUGAUGCCGGUUUGAUUGACAGCUGGGUCUGGCCCGCCCAGAAGACGCAUAUCAUUUCCGUUCCUGUAGCCGGACAUUGCAGUUCAAUAGAUUCUGGCUAACGGCUCAAUGCAGUGGCUUAUUGUGUGUGCGUUACAAGAAGUAAGUGUUCAUGUCUUCUGUCUGUGUGCUUCUAACACUUAGUAUAUGGGUUUAGUGUUGUAACGCAAACUUCGAAUGACGAUCGGACCGCAUGAUUGCAGUUACGUCAUGAACGCGGGUGGUGCGCGCUUCCGAGCAAACGCCAUUAUUAACGACGCACGUGUUAUCCCCGCAAGUUUAUAUACCAUUGAAGUGUGUUGAUAUAUAAAUUAGUGAAGUGUUAAGCAAUGUAAAUGCCAUGUUUACUCAGUAUUUGGGCAUUGGAUGUGUCUUACAUGUAUGUGUUUACUGCAUAUUUAGACCUGAUGCUCUGUUAAUCUUUACUUGUAUGCCAUAAGUGAUGUUAUAUAUAUUAUGUCAUAUUAUAUUGUUCUGUAUAUUAUACCAAUUGCAGUUUAAUCAUUGUGGUAUAUUUCUCUCUUGUUUCUAGAAAAUACCACACACACACGCAUGUGCCUUUAUGACUGCAAAUAAAUGCUGUAUAAAAUCAGCUAACUACAAAGCCUGACUUAUGCGUUCUUACCGACGCCCCCUGGUGAUCACAUCAUAAAUAGUAAAGCCAGUGCCUUUUAACAAACUCACCAACAACUUAUGGUCCUUCGAGCCGGAGUUGAUGUGAUUAUCAUGGAUAACAUGUCCAGAGCCAGUCAUAUUACAGAGCCUGAGUCAGAAGUAUGUCACAAACGAGUGCCAAAGCCUCCAAGACAUUUAGCCGAUUUCGAAGUGGAAUACAGUGGGUUUCAACACACUUAUCCACCUGCAUCUAAAGUGCAACAUGAGCUCUACCAACGUGAAUCAGAGUGGCAAGGAGCUCAUUAUCAGUCAGAAGGAGCUGCCGGGAUGACACCCUUCAUUCAGUGUUCAGAAAAUGAAAGAGAUGGAGAGCCAUAUGAAGAUAAAGAGGCUCAAGCAGUCAUUCAACGGCUAAGAGAAGAGAAUGUUCAACUGUACCGUACACUCAGAGAAAUGAGUCAAAGAGUUGACACUGGAACGACUGUACUCCAGAGCCCUAUUCCUUUGCCUCGAACCAAACCAGUAAUUGGGGCUUCUAGUACGCAAGCUAAAUUCACACCAAUACCAGCUCCACGCUCUCACCGGUCCUUUAGGUUGAACUCCAAUAAACCAGCUGCUAAGGAGGCUGAAGUCUGUGAACCUGUGGUGGAUGAUCAGGUUAGUGUUUCGGCCAUUUCAAAUGAACUGUCCAGAAUGAGCAUUAGAUCUCUACCAGAAAACAUACAUGUCCCAUAUCAUCAUAGUUCACCCUACUAUGCUCAGCCGCAACCUGAUACCAGGGCAUACCCAGUGCAUAACCAAGAUGACUACUGUAGUUAUGGCCCAAACCAGCCACAGAUGACUUAUCGUGCCACCCAACCUGUUCUAAUGCCUCACAAACAGUUAGAAAGGAUACAGCCACACAAUCCAAUAAGAAAUUUUGUGUCUGCUGGUCGGCCACCCCCUGCUAGAGAGAGCACCUACAGAGGCCCCACACCCUCUAUACCUGAUUUUACAUCAGAAGACCCACGACAAUUUGCACGUUUAAAGAUAUCUCUUGAGAAUUUGCUACCACAAGAUGCUACGGAGCAGUUCAAAUAUCAGAUUCUGGUGGAGCAUUUGAAAGUUGAGGAAGCUCUUCUUAUAGCUGACUCAUACAGUAACUCCCCUUAUCCUUACUCAUACACCAUGCAAUCUCUGACUGAACACUAUGGACAGCCCCACCAGCUGGCAUUACAGAGAAUUGCUGAACUGAUGGAAGGCCCCAACAUGCGAAGUGGAGAUACCCAGGCUUUUAGGAGGUUCGCUCUAAGAGUAAGAGCACUGGUGGGGAUGCUCGACCAGCUGGGUGACAAAGGAAGUAUUGAACUUCAGUGUGGCUCACACGUGGCUAGACUCAUGUCCAAACUGCCCCAUGAUCUUCGAGCAAAUUUCAAAAGGUACAUCCACCCACUCAGAAACCCUAUACCUAACCUGUUAGAUUUCUCAGACUGGCUCGAGUUUGAAUUGCAAGUGCAGCCCACAGACAGUAGAGUUCAUUUGAGUGAGCUAAAAGGACGUAGUGCUCCAUAUAAAGAGGCUCAGCGGCCACGCAAACACCCUCAACAGCCAACUGCCAUCCUGCACAGUACAGAUCAGUCUCUGAGCAGUACAACAACAAAGGAGCCAGAGAAAGAAACCUUUAACAGGUCAGUGUACUGUCAAUACUGUGACAACAAACAACACUUCCUUAAUCAGUGUUGUAAUUUUGCACAGCUGCCUUCUGAGCUGAAAGCUAACUGGAUUAAAAUUAAUAAAAGAUGCUGGAAGUGUGGAGGGAGACAUCAGGCAGCACAAUGCAAGUUGAAAGCCGCAUGUAAGGUUUGCACAGGAAAGCAUCUAACCACUCUGCAUGAGGUAAAUAGCAGGUCUGCAGCAGCAAAGAGUCCCGAAGUGCAGCAAGAGAGUCAAACUCUAUACCUAGACCGUCCAGUAGGUGGCAGCCAGGUUCUUCUAAAAAUCAGUAAGGUACUGUUGCACAAUGGCAAACAUACAUUGACAACUUACGCCAUACUCGAUGAUGGUUCAGAGCGCACCAUCUUAUUGCACGAGGCAGCGCAGCAGCUUAAGAUCAAUGGUGAGCCAGAGAACCUUGCGCUGAGGACAGUCAGACAUGACACACAAGUGCUUUCAGGUGCCAAGGUGUCCUUCACUCUAUCCCCUGCCUCUCAGCCCAACAAGAAAUUCAAAAUACGGGGUGCAUUCACUGCAAACCAUUUAGGGCUAGCAAAGCACUCACAUCCAGUUCAAGCUCUACAAGAGAAAUUUAAUCAUCUCAAGAGUCUGCCCCUUCAUAGUUUCUCUCAAGUACAGCCAUUGUUACUAAUAGGCUCUGACCACCAUCAUCUGAUUGCCCCAAUUGAACCAGUACGCUUUGGUCCACCAGGUGGUCCUGCUGGUGUCAAAACUAGAUUAGGCUGGACAUUGCAAGGACCUGCCAAUGUUGUUCAGCAUCAGCUCUCAGCACAGCAAUGCCUAUUCACCUCAGUUGUCUCAUCAUCGGAGCUUCUGCAAAAUGUUGAACGACUAUGGAAAAUAGACACCUUACCAUACAGAACAGAAAAGGAAGUGACUCGCUCACGCUGUGAUCAAGAUGCCAUUAAUUUGCUUGAGUCUAAGACCGUAAGGGUGGAUGUGGAUGGAGUGAGCAGGUAUGCUACCCCUCUGCUACGCAAGAAAGAGAUGCCAAUGCUACAGGCACCAAAGGAAGCAGUCCUUCCUCAGCUCAGAGGCCUAGAAAAACGGCUUGGCAGAAACCAAGAGUGGGCAAGAUCAUACAACCAAGAGAUUGACAGACUAGAGAAAGCUGGUUAUGUCAUUAAACUUAAACCGGAAGCUGUAGACCAGUCACAGGAGUCUUGGUACAUACCACACCAUAUGGUUUGCCAUAAUGGAAAAAACAGAGUGGUGUACAACUGUUCGUUUCGGUUUGAGGGUCACAAUCUCAAUGAGUAUCUCUUGCCAGGUCCAACUCUUACUUCCACUCUUCUGGGCAUAUUACUUCGAUUCAGAGAGCAUACAGUUGCCGUGACAAGUGAUAUUAAGGGAAUGUUUCACCAGAUUCGCCUGCUGCCAGAGGACAAACCUCUGCUCAGGUUCUUAUGGAGGAACAUCCAGCGAGAGAGCCCAGUAAAUGUGUAUGAGUGGCAGGUAUUGCCCUUCGGAACAACAUGUAGCCCAUGCUGUGCCACGUUCGCCGUUUUGAAACAUACCCGGGACCACACAUCACCAGAUGAAGAUGCACGCAUGUCUGUGGAGAGACACUUUUAUGUUGAUAAUUUCUUGCAGAGUGUACCUUCGGAAGACAAAGCUACAAAACUGGUGAAUAAACUACAAUCCCUUCUAGCCUCAGGUGGGUUUGAACUGAGACAAUGGGCGAGUAAUAUUCCCUCCGUUGUAGCCCACCUUCCCCUUGAGGCCAGAUCAGAGAAGAAUGAGCUGUGGCUCUCAGAAAAACAGUGGAAUGUUGCAGAGUCCACUUUGGGCUUACGCUGGCUCUGUCAAACAGACACACUGGGCUACAAGGCCUGGCAGCGAGAAAGGCAAGUGCCCACAUUGAGAUACAUCUAUCAUGUUUUGGCUAGCCAGUAUGAUCCUUUGGGCUAUAUUGUCCCAUAUACCACCAGGGCUAAAGUGCUGAUACAACGGUUGUGGGACAAAAGUCGUGAUUGGGAUGACCCCAAACUGCCCAAUGAUCUACAACAAGCUUGGUGUACAUGGGAAGAGGAGCUGCAAAACAUUGAGAGAAUUGUAAUCCCACGAUGUUACACUAGCCCACCUCUGGAUGCUGAAACAUGUGUGAGGGAUAUUCACAUAUUCUGUGAUGCGUCAGAAUCGGCAUACGGAUCAGUUGCAUACCUUAGAACACAACAUACAGAAGGCCAAGUGGAGGUUUCAUUCAUUGCAGCAAGAUCCAGAGUUGCACCUAAGCGGCAGCUGUCUAUUCCAAGAUUGGAACUCUGCGCUGCCCUAACUGGAGCUCAGUUGGCAAGCCUUUUAGAAAGAGAGCUUACUCUGCCCAUCCAACACCUAACAUUAUGGAGUGACUCAAAAGUGGUGCUGACCUGGAUUCAAUCGGAGUCCUGUAGAUACAAGGUGUUUGUAGGCACAAGAAUUGCCGAGAUCCAAGAAUUAACCUCUCCUCAAGCAUGGAAGUAUGUUAAGUCUGAAGAUAACCCGGCAGAUGAUAUCACUCGUGGUAAAUCACUUUGGCAGCUUGCACAACCUACAAGAUGGAACCUAGGGCCUCAUUUCCUCCGGCAAGACCCACUUACUUGGCCCAAUGACUCAGUGAAGCCAAACACUGACAACACGGAUGAGGAAACAAAGAUAAGCUUUUGUGGCUUAACUAGAAUAGACUUUUCCCAGGCCAUUCAGGGAUUCUCGCAGUUUCACAGUUUAUCACAAGCAGUUGAGUCCAAAGCUUUGGAACAAUUUGGCCUAGACAAGAAACCAGAAGAUUUAUCCGCCAAAGAUUAUGCAGAGGCCGAGAUCACCCUACUGAAGGAAGCACAAGCUACAUGCUUUCCCACUGAAUUAGAGGCACUGACAACUGGCAAACCCUUGCCCUCUAACAGUCGGUUACUUACCCUUGCUCCAGAGCUGGACAAAUCUACCGGGCUCAUUAGAGUUGGUGGGCGUCUACGACGCAGUGAAUUGCUUGAUCCAGAAACUGUUCACCCCAUAAUACUAGAACCCAAACAUCCCCUGAGUCAGCUACUCAUACAGCAUUUUGAUGAAAAAUUGCAUCACCCCGGUCCUGAAAGAGUAUAUGCUGAGAUCCGCCGACAAUAUUGGAUUUUGAGAGGACGAGAGGCUGUAAGAUAUCAUCAACAUAAGUGUACCGAGUGUAGAAAAUGGCGAGGUAAACCUGAGAUCCCCCGUAUGGCCGAUUUACCCCCUGCUCGCCUUCGACUUUACAAACCUGCAUUCUACUCAACUGGUGUGGACUGUUUCGGACCUUUCAUAAUCAAAGUGGGGCGGCGCAACGAGAAACGGUGGGGAAUUAUCUUUAAAUGUAUGACGACUAGAGCGGUAUACAUUGAUGUGCUAACCAACAUCAGCUCAGACUCAUUCCUCAUGGCUCUACGCCGAUUCAUUGCUCGAAGAGGAAAACCCCAUGAGCUCUUUUCAGACCAGGGUACUAAUUUCAAGGGAGGUGAGAGAGAAAUAACCGAAGCAUUCAACAACUUGCAACCUACCCUGAAAAGCCAACUUGCAAAGCAACAGAUAGAGUUUCACUUUAACCCACCUGGAGCUCCCCAUUUUGGGGGUAUCUGGGAAAGAGAAAUCAGAACACUGAAAGCUGCACUCAACCAGACGCUUGGAGCACAACAUGUGUCAGAGGAAGUAUUAACAACAGUGCUGGUAGAGAUUGAGGGAAUUCUCAAUUCCAAGCCGUUGGGUUAUGUACCAUCUGAUGUGGCUGACAUUGACCCUAUAACUCCAAAUAGCCUUCUAAUGGGGCGGCCUGACUCCAGCUUGCCACAAGUUGUCUAUCCAAAAACAGAACUACUGAGCAAAAAGCAAUGGAGACACAGUCAAAUACUGGCGGAUCAUUUCUGGGCACACUUCAUAAAGCGCUAUCUGCCUCAACUACAGACGCGGGAAAAAUGGAUGACUGACAAGGCCAAGAAUCUGGAGAAAGGGACAGUAGUGAUAAUAAUCGAUUCGCAACUUCCCAGAGCUCUCUGGCUGGUGGGUAAGAUCACUGACACAAUACCUGGAGCAGAUGGAUGUAUAAGAACUGCUGAAGUACAAGUGGGUGAUCGCAAAUAUGUUAGACCUGUGAGUAAAUUGAUCCGUUUACCACCGUUACCAGAAGAUGAUAAUUCUUAGGCCUUUUCUGUAGUAAAUUUACUAAGUAAAUUGGGGCGGCUGUUGUAAAGGCCAGGCAUAUCUAGCGUUCUGAUUUGAUGCCGGUUUGAUUGACAGCUGGGUCUGGCCCGCCCAGAAGACGCAUAUCAUUUCCGUUCCUGUAGCCGGACAUUGCAGUUCAAUAGAUUCUGGCUAACGGCUCAAUGCAGUGGCUUAUUGUGUGUGCGUUACAAGAAAAAAUACCACACACACACGCAUGUGCCUUUAUGACUGCAAAUAAAUGCUGUAUAAAAUCAGCUAACUACAAAGCCUGACUUAUGCGUUCUUACCGACGCCCCCUGGUGAUCACAUCAUAAAUAGUAAAGCCAGUGCCUUUUAACAAACUCACCAACAAAUAUUGUAUGUAAUUACAUUUAGAUUAUUUUCUUUCAUGUGCUUGUCACAAUACCCUUACUUGAGACUAAGUUUAUUCUAAUUUUUAUUAUGAUUAUGUUUUUAAAUGAUUGUGAUUAUGAAAUCAUGUGUCCUCAAAUUG